GAUGAACGCUGGCGGCGUGCCUAAUACAUGCAAGUCGAGCGAAUGGAUUAAGAGCUUGCUCUUAUGAAGUUAGCGGCGGACGGGUGAGUAGCACGUGGGUAACCUGCCUAUAAGACUGGGAUAACUCCGGGAAACCGGGGCUAAUACCGGAUAACAUUUUGAACCGCAUGGUUCGAAAUUGAAAGGCGGCUUCGGCUGUCACUUAUGGAUGGACCCGCGUCGCAUUAGCUAGUUGGUGAGGUAACGGCUCACCAAGGCAACGAUGCGUAGCCGACCUGAGAGGGUGAUCGGCAACACUGGGACUGAGACACGGCCCAGACUCCUACGGGAGGCAGCAGUAGGGAAUCUUCCGCAAUGGACGAAAGUCUGACGGAGCAACGCCGCGUGAGUGAUGAAGGCUUUCGGGUCGUAAAACUCUGUUGUUAGGGAAGAACAAGUGCUAGUUGAAUAAGCUGACACCUUGACGGUACCUAACCAGAAAGCCACGGCUAACUACGUGCCAGCAGCCGCCGUAA
rnacentral:rRNA from 1 species